rnacentral:tRNA from 1 species
GGACGGUUAGCUCAGCAGGUUAGAGCGCUUGCUUGACAAGCAAGAGGCCGUUGGUUCGAGUCCAAUACUGUCCACCA